GUGAUUAAGGGUGCUCUUUACAAUGGACGUCUAGGAGCUUAUAUAAGGCUCAGAGACAAAGGUCCUAACGUUCUAAAACAAAUAGAAAAGGAAACAAAUCAAGCAAAGUAACAAAAUCGAAAACUAGCCGUUGGAGCCUUUUAUGGGAUUUUGGCUCCAAGUGAGAAACUUGAUUCUUCUUGAACCUGGACGGUUUUAAUGGAUAAGAGAGCUUCCUUGGGACCUUCCUGGGUGCUUGAUAGGUUCUGAUCUCGUGCCUGAUCUGAAGAGAAAAGAGUUGUUGGACAUUAAUGUCGGUUUGCUCCAAAUAAGGCAGGUUUGAGUAAAUGAGGAUCCUCAUGAUCCAAUGGUUGCUGGUGCAUGGUAUGAACUUGCAGAACUCCUCCUGGACUCCUAGAAUAUCUCCUGAUUGGUUGAAAUGAUCUCCUGGUCGCCAAUGUCUGGUUUGAAGCUGAUUGAACCGGUUAGCUUCCAAUUGAGGUAAGUGUAGAACUGGAUUGGCCGGUUUUGAAGAUUGGAUCAUAAAUUCAUAAUUCCGUGGCCAUUUCUCCUGAUCUUGGGCUUUCUGGAAAUCUGAUAAACUCCUCUUGACUCCUAUGAUGGGCUUUGCUUCAGGCCGCUCCUUACUUGAGCUUAAAUCUCCUUCUAAAGUCGGGUACUCGCAGAUGGACGGGCUGGAAAACCUCUGACUUGUAAAAUUCAUAACUUCUUGCUCCGUGAAUAUUUUGGACUGAUUAUAAGUGGGCUGGACUCCUUCUUGAGUGUAGAGUCCACUAAAAUUUAUCUUGUGACUUAAACCCUCCUGGUUUGUAAGAUACAGCAUUUUUAGUGCACAUGUGUUCUGCUUAGCGCCUUGGCUGGUUGAGUAGGGCUUUGGGUUGACCUCCGGUUCAGUUGCUGAUCUGAUGACCACAUCAUCCCCUCCCUCUUGACAAGGUUUCGACUUCGAAACUGUAUAAUCUGCACCAAGAUAGAGCAAGUCAGCUUUCAUUCUCUUUUGAGAUUCUAAAGCCUUACCUUGGUAUUGUUUUGGUUUUGCUUCUUUAAGCAAUAUGGACUGCAUUGUCUCUUGAACAAUCUUCUGGUCCAUCACAAGAGUCACGCCUGGUGGUUCUUCUUCUUUAAAUUCUUGCUCCUUAAGUCCUGUUACAACACCCUUUGACAAAGACAAGUGCAUUAUACAAGAAUAUGGAACCAAUAAAUCAGUUUGAAUAAAACUAUCACUUUUCAUAGAUAAAUCUAUUUUUUCUUCUAGUGAUGUUUCUAUCAAUGCUUGCUUAGUAGGACAAACUACAGCAUAGUGUCCUUUCUUAUGACAUCUAUAACAUGUCUGAUUUUUCAAAUCCUCAGAGUUAGAAGACUUACCUUGGCUUGAUGGCUCUUCUUUAUUUGGGUUUAAAAUCUCCUUGUAUCUUGGACUUAAAUCAUGGACAACUUUUGAUCUCAACAAGGAUGGGGAGAUCGUGUCUUUCUGAACCUCAGGACCUGUCUUAACAUUCUUGGACAAAGACAAGUGACUCAUACCAGUGGGAGAUGAUUUAUAAACAAAUUUAUCAAGUAUAGGACUUACCUUAGCCUUUACUUGGACAAUAAAAGGUUCUGAUUUUUCUUUGGAACCAUGAGUUAGAUACCUCCUUGGGUAUAUCUUUUUGAUCUUAGAACUUGUGAGUUCUGCUGCAAAUUCAUCCCUCAUGACUUCCUUAAGAGCUCUCCACGUUUUGAUAGCUGUCUCCUUGUAAAACCAUCUAUCAUCUUCUUCUUGUACCCACCAUUUAAAGGCAUUACCUUUUAGUUGAUCAAGGGCAUAAGAUAGCCUCUCUUCCUUGAGGAUGUUGUUGUAGUGAAACCAUUCAUCAAGGUUCCUCUCCCAUGUUAGGUAGCUUAUUCCUCCUGAAAAUGUAAAGAGUUCAAUUUUAUCAGCAAAAGAUUUAUGAUCAAACCGAGAAUUAGCAACAUGAUGAGUAUGGGUUUGAGAAGUUGGAUGUUGAUUGAUCCUUGAAGGAUCUGGUGGCUUGGGAUCGACAUAGACAACCUCUGGUGCAUCUCCAAAUCUCCUUUCUCCUUGCUGUGGACGUUGGCCUCAUGCCUUGUUUCUUUUCCUCAACUGAGCAAUCCGAUCAUUGAUCUCUUGUAAAGCUGUCAACUAUUGGUUCUGUUUGGCCAUCUGACAUUGACCGUGUGUUUUUCCUACCAUGGCUUCCUGAAAACACUUUCAAAGAUCAAGUGAAGGAAGGUAUGGGAAGUUCUGGUCGAAUCAAAAUAGGAACCAAAAAUGCAAGCUAAUUAAAACUAAACCGAGAAAAUAUGCUAUGAUGACCCGAAUUGAAAUAAACUAUGCAAAAAUGAUUUUUCUUUUAGUUUUCUUAAUGCAAAUCUCGAAAUGAAACAAUAUUAAAUGACAAUGAACACAAAUGAAAAGAAAAUAUGGAAAGCAAACUAAUGCUGAUAUUUUUUUUUUGAUUUUCUUAAUUAUGCAAGAAUUAACCAACAAUAUGCAAAAAUGAUUUAAACUAAGAUGCAAUAUUUUUAUUUGGUUUUCUUGAUGUAAGAACGAAAUGGACAACUAGAAAUGGUAUGAAAAUACUGAGAAUGAUUUAUUUUGGCUUUUAAGUUUAUGGAUGCAAAUGGAAAGGAAACAAAUUCAAAACAUCAUUUUUUUAUGGGAUAUUUGAGAUUUUUUUUUAUGGAAACUAAUGAAUGCAAACACUUUUUUUUGGGAUUUUCGAUUUUAAAUGAAUCAAAUAAAACUUUUUCUUUUCUUUUUCGUGGCUUUUAAGAGGAUGAACAGAAAGUACACAAAAACAAAUGCAGAAACAAAACUUGAACAAAGAAACAGUUUUUUUGGAUUUUCUGUUUAUGAUAAAAACAAAUGCAAGCAAAUGAAAUAUGAUGCAAGGAUAGAAUGGACCUGGAGAUUUUUUUUUAUGGAAACUAAUGAAUGCAAACACUUUUUUUUGGGAUUUUCGAUUUUAAAUGAAUCAAAUAAAACUUUUUCUUUUCUUUUUCGUGGCUUUUAAGAGGAUGAACAGAAAGUACACAAAAACAAAUGCAGAAACAAAACUUGAACAAAGAAACAGUUUUUUUGGAUUUUCUGUUUAUGAUAAAAACAAAUGCAAGCAAAUGAAAUAUGUAAAGCUGUCAACUAUUGGUUCUGUUUGGCCAUCUGACAUUGACCGUGUGUUUUUCCUACCAUGGCUUCCUGAAAACACUUUCAAAGAUCAAGUGAAGGAAGGUAUGGGAAGUUCUGGUCGAAUCAAAAUAGGAACCAAAAAUGCAAGCUAAUUAAAACUAAACCGAGAAAAUAUGCUAUGAUGACCCGAAUUGAAAUAAACUAUGCAAAAAUGAUUUUUCUUUUGGUUUUCUUAAUGCAAAUCUCGAAAUGAAACAAUAUUAAAUGACAAUGAACACAAAUGAAAAGAUAAUAUGGAAAGCAAACUAAUGCUGAUAUUUUUUUUUUGAUUUUCUUAAUUAUGCAAGAAUUAACCAACAAUAUGCAAAAAUGAUUUAAACUAAGAUGCAAUAUUUUUAUUUGGUUUUCUUGAUGUAAGAACGAAAUGGACAACUAGAAAUGGUAUGAAAAAACUGAGAAUGAUUUAUUUUGGCUUUUAAGUUUAUGGAUGCAAAUGGAAAGGAAACAAAUUCAAAACAUCAUUUUUUUAUGGGAUAUUUGAGAUUUUUUUUUAUGGAAACUAAUGAAUGCAAACACUUUUUUUUGGGAUUUUCGAUUUUAAAUGAAUCAAAUAAAACUUUUUCUUUUCUUUUUCGUGGCUUUUAAGAGGAUGAACAGAAAGUACACAAAAACAAAUGCAGAAACAAAACUUGAACAAAGAAACAGUUUUUUUGGAUUUUCUGUUUAUGAUAAAAACAAAUGCAAGCAAAUGAAAUAUGAUGCAAGGAUAGAAUGGACCUGAUUCAGGAGCUUUGAGCUCUGAUACCAAAAUGUUGUAGGCACAGGAGGGGUAACCCACGAAUUGAUAAAAAUGGUGGAACCAAGGUUUAAACCUGAAAAAAACAAAGAGAACCGAUUUUUAUGAGUUUAGAGUUUUUAUGAUGCAAACAUAAACAAAUAUGAAAACGAAUGAAAUGAUGAUGAUAAUGAUAAUAAAACAAGAUAAAUAAACAAAGUAUAUGAUGGAAUCAAGCUGCUGGAUGUGUAUCACUCUCAGCUUGAUUAGAUGAUGAACUGAAGUGGAUUUGCGGAGGAAGGUUUGAUUGAAUCUCUCAAUCUGAUGGAAUGAUGGAUCGAAGUGAUUGACUCUCUCAAUCUGUGUACUGAGCUUGUUUGAUUUGCACAAACAAACUAGACUCACGAAAUCAAUAAGACAACAAAGAAUCUCUCUUUGAAUCCUAAAGACCGAUAUUUUAUACAAAGAACAACUUUGAUAAAACUGAAUAAACUUUCUAUUAACUUGGUGAUUAAGGGUGCUCUUUACAAUGGACGUCUAGGAGCUUAUAUAAGGCUCAGAGACAAAGGUCCUAACGUUCUAAAACAAAUAGAAAAGGAAACAAAUCAAGCAAAGUAACAAAAUCGAAAAACUAGCCGUUGGAGCCUUUUAUGGGAUUUUGGCUCCAAGUGAGAAACUUGAUUCUUCUUGAACCUGGACGGUUUUAAUGGAUAAGAGAGAUUCCUUAGGACCUUCCUGGGUGCUUUAUAGGUUCUGAUCUCGUUCCUGAUCUGAAGAGAAAAGAG
rnacentral:lncRNA from 1 species